AUGAAGAGCUUGCUUUCCUGAUGCUUAGCGGCGGACGGGUGAGUAACACGUAGGCAACCUGCCCUCAAGACUGGGAUAACUACCGGAAACGGUAGCUAAUACCGGAUAAUUAAAUCUGCUGCAUGGCAGAGUUAUGAAAGGCGGAGCAAUCUGUCACUUGAGGAUGGGCCUGCGGCGCAUUAGCUAGUUGGUGAGGUAACGGCUCACCAAGGCGACGAUGCGUAGCCGACCUGAGAGGGUGAACGGCCACACUGGGACUGAGACACGGCCCAGACUCCUACGGGAGGCAGCAGUAGGGAAUCUUCCGCAAUGGGCGAAAGCCUGACGGAGCAACGCCGCGUGAGUGAUGAAGGUUUUCGGAUCGUAAAGCUCUGUUGCCAGGGAAGAACGUCUCAUAGAGUAACUGCUAUGAGAGUGACGGUACCUGAGAAGAAAGCCCCGGCUAACUACGUGCCAGCAGCGG
rnacentral:rRNA from 1 species